AACUCAAUCAUAAUAUGAAGCGAUGACGACGAAGAGAUUUAAUUA
rnacentral:guide_RNA from 1 species